UACGAAGGGAGCUAGCGUUGUUCGGAAUCACUGGGCGUAAAGCGCACGUAGGCGGACGUGUCAGUCAGGGGUGAAAUCCCGGGGCUCAACCUCGGAACUGCCUUUGAUACAGCAUGUCUUGAGUCCGAUAGAGGUGGGUGGAAUUCCUAGUGUAGAGGUGAAAUUCGUAGAUAUUAGGAAGAACACCAACGGCGAAAGCACUCUGCUGGGCCGACACUGACACUGAGAGACGAGAGCUAGGGGAGCGAAUGGG
rnacentral:rRNA from 1 species